UUUUUAGAGNUUUGAUUCCCGCUCAGGACGAACGCUGGCGGCGUGCCUAAUACAUGCAAGUCGAACGCUUCUUUUCCCACCGGAGCUUGCUCCACCGGGAAAAGAGGAGUGGCGAACGGGUGAGUAACACGUGGGUAACCUGCCCAUCAGAAGGGGAUAACACUUGGAAACAGGUGCUAAUACCGUAUAACAAUCGAAACCGCAUGGUUUCGUUUUGAAAGGCGCUUUACGGUGCCGCUGAUGGAUGGACCCGCGGUGCAUUAGCUAGUUGGUGAGGUAACGGCUCACCAAGGCCACGAUGCAUAGCCGACCUGAGAGGGUGAUCGGCCACAUUGGGACUGAGACACGGCCCAAACUCCUACGGGAGGCAGCAGUAGGGAAUCUUCGGCAAUGGACGAAAGUCUGACCGAGCAACGCCGCGUGAGUGAAGAAGGUUUUCGGAUCGUAAAACUCUGUUGUUAGAGAAGAACAAGGGUGAGAGUAACUGUUCACCCCUUGACGGUAUCUAACCAGAAAGCCACGGCUAACUACGUGCCAGCAGCCGCGGUAAUACGUAGGUGGCAAGCGUUGUCCGGAUUUAUUGGGCGUAAAGCGAGCGCAGGCGGUUUCUUAAGUCUGAUGUGAAAGCCCCCGGCUCAACCGGGGAGGGUCAUUGGAAACUGGGAGACUUGAGUGCAGAAGAGGAGA
rnacentral:rRNA from 1 species